AGACGAACUGUUCUAACGUUAUUCGGAAUCACUGGGCUUAAAGGGCGCGUAGGCUGUUUGUUAAGCGGGGUCUGAAAUCCCUCGGCUCAACCGAGGAACUGGGCUUCGAACUGGCAGACUAGAGUGAAGUAGGGGUAAGCGGAACUUGCGGUGGAGCGGUGAAAUGCUUUGAUAUCGCAAGGAACACCGGCGGCGGAGGCGGCUUACUGGGCUUCAACUGACGCUUAAGAGCGAAAGCUAGGGGAGCGAACGGGAGUAGAUACCCCGGUAGUCUUAGCCGUAAACUCUGAGCGCUUGUUCGAGGGAGUUUUUUCUUUCUCGAGCGUAGCGAAAGUUUUAAGCGCUCCGCCUGGGGAGUAUGGUCGAAAGGCUGAAACUCAAAGGAAUUGGCGGGG
rnacentral:rRNA from 1 species